rnacentral:rRNA from 1 species
CAUGCAAGACGAACGAGAUCUUCGGAUCUAGUGGCAGACGGGUGCGUAACGCGUGGGAACCUGCCCUUUAGUAAGGAAUAACUUUAGGAAACUGAAGCUAAUACCUUAUAAUCCCUCCGGGGGAAAGCUUUAUGCGCCAAUGGAUGGGCCCGCGUUAGAUUAGCUUGUUGGUGAGGUAAAGGCUCACCAAGGCUACGAUCUAUAACUGGUCUGAGAGGAUGAUCAGCCACACUGGGACUGAGACACGGCCCAGACUCCUACGGGAGGCAGCAGUGGGGAAUAUUGGACAAUGGGGGCAACCCUGAUCCAGCGAUGCCGCGUGAGUGAUGAAGGCCCUAGGGUUGUAAAACUCUUUCGCCAGGGAAGAUAAUGACGGUACCUGGUAAAGAAGAUCCGGCUAACUCCGUGCCAGCAGCCGCGGUAAUACGGAGGGAUCUAGCGUUAUUCGGAAUAACUGGGCGUAAAGCGAGCGUAGGCGGAUUUGUAAGUUGGAGGUGAAAUCCCAGGGCUUAACCCUGGAACUGCCUUCAAAACUACAUUUCUUGAGUUUGGUAGAGGAGAGUGGAAUUCCUAGUGUAGAGGUGAAAUUCGUAGAUAUUAGGAGGAACACCAGUGGCGAUGGCGACUCUCUGGGCCAAUACUGACG